rnacentral:rRNA from 1 species
AAUGAACGUUGGCGGCGUGGAUUAGGCAUGCAAGUCGAGCGAGAACCCAGCAAUGGGGGACAGCGGCGUAAGGGACAGUAAUGUGUAGAUUAUCUGCCCUCGGGACCGGGAUAGCUGAGGGAAACUGCAGGUAAUACCGGAUAACAUCUCCGGAUCAAAGGUGUGAUUCCGCCCGAGGAUGAGUCUGCAUCCUAUUAGCUAGUUGGCAGGGUAAUGGCCUACCAAGGCUUUGAUGGGUAGCGGGUGUGAGAGCACGACCCGCGUCAUUGGGACUGAGACACUGCCCAGACACCUACGGGUGGCUGCAGUCGAGAAUCUUCGGCAAUGGGCGCAAGCCUGACCGAGCGACGCCGCGUGUGGGAUGAAGGCCUUCGGGUUGUAAACCACUGUUAGAGGGGAUGAAAUGCAGGUGGGUUCUCCCAUCUGUUUGACAUAGCCUCAGAGGAAGGACGGGCUAAGUUCGUGCCAGCAGCCGCAGUAACAC